ensembl:lncRNA
AAAGCAUUAUCUGAGUAAACCACUAUGUGGCGGUAAAGCACAGAGGCACGUCUCACAUGACGUCAUCUCUCUGUCUGGAGUCUGGACGCCUAUUGGGUAAACUCUGACGAAUCAGGAGCAAGCUCAUGUAGCUAGUCCUUUCAAAUUACCGAGUUUCCUCGUUUGACUUUUCGACAUCAAAAAUUGUGUGUGUUAGAUCGCAAAUCACCGUUUGUUCGAAUAAUGUGACUUAAUCUCGGCUGGAAGACACAACGAUAAACUCGACCACCUUUACGGAACUAGAAGGUCUGCUUUCUUCAACGCAAUAACGCAUAGAAGACAAGGAUUUGAAAAGAAGAGAAAAAAUAACGUCCGUUUGUAUGAAAGCCCUCUAACAUGGCCAAUCUGACGGCUACACUUGGAGCGCCUAGCUACGACCCAACGGAGAACGAGGACCGCGAGAACAUCCCUCCUCCUGCCGACUCCGCCCCCAGGCCGUCGAGGGAGCCCAAUCAGAACGUUCCUGAUGAGCGUGUAGUCCCGCUUUACAGAGAAGUCGUGGACAAAUGGCACAACACCAUGAAGAACCUUGGCCAGAGUCCUCUCAGUUCGCCAGACAUAGGGGACGAGGCGCUCCCUGAGCUCAGCAUGCUGGACACCACGGCGGAGACCUCUCACCUGUCUCUCGCCAAAACGAGGAGUCCUGCUGCUGCUUCCCUCUCGUCCACGCCCAGAUACUCCAGAGAGAUGGACAAAUGGCACAACACCAUGGCGAACCACGGCCAGAGUCCUCUCGGGUCGCCAGACAUAGGGGACGAGAUGCUCCCUGAGCUCAGCAUGCUGGACACCACGGCGGAGACCUCCCACUUGUCUCUCGCCAAAACGAGGAGUCCUGCUGCUGCUUCCCACUCGUCCACGCCCAGAUACUCCAGAGAGAUGGAAUCCGGCCUUACGCCCGGUUUCAAAAGCUUUAACCUGCCGGGCAACAACUCCAGGAAGGGCCUGACACCCGGCCCGGCCAGGCAUGGGCUGACGGCUAUUCACAACAUGCCGCACCUUAACCAGGAGUUGUUCACCACAGAGUAUCACAAACUGAGGGAGAGCCUGGGUCGGCUUCCCGCCGGACCGGACAGCUUGGCUCCGGCCGGGUGGCCUUGCUUCUGGCUGCAGGACGAGACCCUCCCAGAGGUCAGCUUGAUGGACUCCACCAUGGAGUGUUCUAACCUCUCCACCAAUGGGGCCGCUCCCUCCUUCGUGCCCCCGGUUCCUGAACGGCACCUUGCUGUGACGCCUAAAGUGGAGGAGGAGCCCAGCCCAGGCUCCAUGUUGAGUCUGGUCACGGAUAAGAGUUUAGUUCUCACUCCUCGCCUCCUAGCCUCCACAGGGCAGCAGAGCCUCGGAGAAAGUCGCUUAAUGGACCACAGCAGUCUCCACACACUGGAGAUGACGAAAGCUGAGGUUGUCCAGAACUCAGUGGAAAGCUCUUCCUGUCCUGAAUCCGAUGUCACCCGCGAAUCCAUCCUUCCCCAUGGGGUAGUGGUUCUGGGAGCUGAGGUUGUCCAGAGCUCACUGGAAACAUCCUCCAUCCCCGAAUCUGAUGUAACCUGUGAAUCCAUCCUUCCCCAUGGGGAAAUGGCUCUGGGUUCUCCAUCGCUGUGCUCCGCUUCUGCUUCCCAAUUCCCUGACAGGACAACUCUGGUCCUAGCAUUGGACCACCCGAGGCAGCCCGAGCUCAACACCACCCAGGUCCUCAACACCACCCAGGUCCUCAACACCACCCAGGUCCUCAACACCACCCAGGUCCUCAACACCACCCAGGUGCUCAGCGAGAAUGCGGUGGAGGUGGCAAGCAAUGACAGCAAUGGGUCCGCCCCGCGCUCUGGGAACGACACCUACUUCAGUCCACCUAGUGACUCCUCGAUGAACAGCAAUGUCACUAUGGAGGCCAUCGACUCCUCAGGGGUCAAGUGCCACCUAAGUUUGCCGCUCAACAAGCAGCUGUCGGACCCGUUUCCAUUAGACCCAGUGCAGUGGUCUCACUGGGCGAUGCCUGCUCAGGUGUCAAACUCGAGGACACCUUUAAGAGCAUCUCUUCUCCAACCCUAGGUCCCCAAGGAUGUAGUCAAGACAACCAGAGCGUCGGCCAAGACAACCAGAGCGUCGGCCAAGACAACCAGAGCGUCGGCCAAGACAACCAGAGCGUCGGCCAAGACAACCAGAGCGUCGGCCAAGACAACCAGAGCGUCGGCCAAGACAACCAGAGCGUCGGCCAAGACAACCAGAGUGGUAGGCAAGACAACCAGAGCGUCUACCAAGACAACCUGAGCGGAAGUCACUUUGAAGCCCAACCCAGAGCGUUAUCAACUGCCCCUCACAAUGGGUCCAAUAAUAACCUGGUUGUGGCGCUGGACCUGCGGUCCGAGGUCAACACCACCCAUGGGUCCAGCGGGUCAACGGCCGACAGGGCGAGCAGCACCAUGACCUUCUCCUCACAGGACGCCUCCAGACCUCUGUCCCCAGCACCCAGCGCCACAAAGAGUGACGAGAAUUCACUGAGAUGCCACACGCUGGCAUGCACACCUGUUUAUAAAUGCAGUGCCGACCUCAACUUUGAUGACACAUUCGAGAGAGCUUCUCCUCCCAAGGCAAGUGCCCUGAACUGUCAAGCCAAUCAGACAGCUGGAUGUUUGGUCACCUCCACGCCCAUGUCGGACUGGAAAGUCUAUGUGCCCACGAGCCAGACCUCACAGGUGCAGAAGAGGCGGUACUCUGACGGUCCAUCUAAGCCCCUCCCACAGACAAGCAGCCCUGCCGCCAGUGCGGACCAUGUGGCCGCCAGUGCGGACCAUGUGGCCGCCAGUGCGGACCAUGUGGCCGCCAGUGCGGACCAUGUGGCCGCCCCGGAUGUUCGCUCGCUCCUGCCAAACCUGGGUCCUGCCCGAGCCAUACCCCGCAGUCUCCGGUACAAUUCCGCCCCUGGUGGCACGGGGCGGCGCCUCAGCCCCCCCCCUACAGGGAGGAGAGUGUCAGCCAUGGCUCCGCCCCUUAAACAGAGCAAACCAAAGAACAGCAUACCAGACACCACCAGCACAACCAGUAUACCCAGCACCACUGAUAUAUCGAACACCACCAGCCUCUGCCGUGCACCACCAGGCCUCAAACCGCCAAGGAGAGUCCUCCAUAAACCGGCUGCAACGGGCAUCCCAGCGACCAAUCGGAGGACUCUACCAGGUCUCAGACCGCCUACUGCACGACUUGCCACUGCAGCCUUGUCCAAUGAUAAGCCUGGUCCAUCCUCAGCAGACAGUCGCCGUGAGUCGCUGAGCCAGGCCAAGAGGAGCUUGCUGCCCGGGAGUGAAGCUCAGGGGCUGGCCAAGAGACGGAGGACAGUAUGUACCCCCACAGGUGUUCCAGGACCUUCUACCACCAUGGAGGCCUCCGUUCUGUCUCUGGAGCCCACCAGGGGGGCCUGUGGCCUGAGGGCUCCUCCCCCAAGAACCUGCAAGACCCCAGCACUGGCUGGGUGUUCAAACUGUGCCCUGCUGAACAAGGAGCUGGAGAAGAAUCGUGCGGUGAUAAGAGGACUGCAGAAAGUACUGGAUGGCUUCGUCACCCCAGCAUCAUAACCAGGACCCAUUGGCAGAGACGACAGCGGCACAACAUUGAAAAUAUGUAAAUUAAUACAAAUAAAUAUGUGAAGGAAAUAAAAAUAACAACUAAAAGUUUUCUGAAAUGUUUCCAGAUUUGUUUAUUGUACACUUGCUUUCAUGUUUCCAAAUCGGACCGAUGGAGAAGGCUAAUGAAGGUUCAAUGAUUCAAUUCAAAUAACUUUAUUUUCCGUUAGGAAUUUCAGAUUUGGAGUAGCAGCAGGGUGUGUCCAUACCCAACAGUACAUACAAUAAACAACACGCACCAUCAGCCCCGCAGAAAAUAAAAAUCCUUGCCUAAGCGUAAUGAAUAAAUAGUAUUACCUCCAUAUUGGAGGAGAAAUAAUUUAACAAGAUUCCAGUUAUUAAAACAAGAGUACGCAGUUCAAAAAGAUUCCAGGUGAAUGUCGAUGGUUCGACUUGAAAGUAAAAAGUUUAAAGUUCCACUUGACACAAAUAUGGAAACUUAGUUGAUGCAGCAAUAAGCAGAUGAUAAGAGGAAUGCAGAAAGUACUGGAUGG